CAGCCGCCGCGGUAAUACGUAGGUCCCGAGCGUUGUUCGGAAUCACUGGGCGUAAGGGGAGCGUAGGCGGCGUGGUAAGUCAGAUGUGAAAUCCCGGGGCUCAACCCCGGAACUGCAUCCGAUACUGCCGUGCUAGAGGAUUGGAGAGGUAGCUGGAAUUCUUGGUGUAGCAGUGAAAUGCGUGGAGAUCAAGAGGAACACUCGUGGCGAAAGCGAGCUACUGGACAAUAUCUGACGCUGAGGCUCGAAGGCCAGGGUAGCGAAAGGGAUUAGAUACCCGAGUAGUCCCUGUCUCUUAUAA
rnacentral:rRNA from 1 species